rnacentral:rRNA from 1 species
UUGGAAGUAAAAGUCGUAACAAGGUUUCCGUAGGUGAACCUGCGGAAGGAUCAUUGUCGAUGCCUUACAUGCAGACCAACACGUGAAUCAGUUUGAACACAUAGGGUUGGUUUGAGGUGUUCAACACCUCGGCUUGCCUCUGGUUCGGAGGAGGACGAUGUUGUGCGUUCUCCUUUGUGCCAAAACACAAACCCCGGCGCUGAAUGCGUCAAGGAAUUUAAAAUUUGCUCUGAGCUCACCUGCAUGGCACCGGAGACGGUUUUCGUGCGGGUUGUGUUCUGACACAUAAUAUAGAAUGACUCUCGGCAACGGAUAUCUAGGCUCUUGCAUCGAUGAAGAACGUAGCGAAAUGCGAUACUUGGUGUGAAUUGCAGAAUCCCGUGAACCAUCGAGUCUUUGAACGCAAGUUGCGCCCGAUGCCAUUAGGUUGAGGGCACGUCUGCCUGGGCGUCACAUAUCGAAGCCUCUCGCCAAUUUCCUAUAUUGAUAGGGGUAUUGUGCAGGGCGAAUGUUGGCCUCCCGUGAGCUCUAUUGCCUCAUGGUUGGUUGAAAAUCGAGACCUUGGUAGGGUGUGCCAUGAUAGGUGGUGGCUGUGUUACGCACGAGACCAAGUAAGUCAUGUGCUGCUCUAUUGAAUUUAGGCCUCUUUUACCCACAUGCGUUUCGAAACGCUCGUGAUGAGACCUCAGGUCAGGCGGGGCUACCCGCUGAAUUUAAGCAUAUCAAUAAGCGGAGGAA